UGCAUCGGCCGAGAAUCGAACCCGGGCCACCCGCGUGGCAGGCGAGCAUUCUACCACUGAACCACCGAUGC
rnacentral:tRNA from 1 species